CCACUUGACUGGUCUGAGCGAUUUUGUUUCCGACGAGUGGAAAAUUUGGAGAUUUUUGCUUGAGGUUGUUGGACUGCCUUUUGAUUCAGUUUGACUGAUCUUCCCCCUCGUUUUCGUUCUCUUCUUUGCUGGUUCAGUUGACUUUCAACGUUAAGAAUCGGUGUUUAUCAGUGCUCGUCACCAUUGUUUUUCUUCUCUGUAUGUGUUUUUUUUUUAUUUUUCUGGGGAGUGGUGUUGAUGAUUAUCCGGCUAGAGAAUUUUAAUUG
rnacentral:lncRNA from 1 species